rnacentral:snRNA from 1 species
GUGCUCACUUCAACAGCACAUAUACUAAAAAUUUGGAAUGAUACAGAGAAGAUUAGCAUGGUCCCUGCGCAAGGGUAACACACAAAUUCAUGAAGCAUUCCGUAUUAAA